GGUAGUGAUGCUCACAGGACUGGGAGGUCGGGACUCAAGAAUAACGGGACAAACAGGAUUACUGGGCCUCACUUUUCUCCUAGUGGUGCUCCGAGGGUUGCUCGGCCUCCCCUCAGGUCUGGAAGGCUGUACAUAAGACUGGACCAGGCCAACGGGGCUAACAGGCCGUCUAUUGGGGGGCCGAGGGUUGCUUGGCCUCCCCUCAGGUCUGGAAGGCUGUACGUCAGGCUGGACCAGGCCAACGGGGCUAACAGGCCGUCUAGUGGGGCGUCGAGAGUUGCUCGGCCUCCCCUCAGGUCUGGAUGGCUGUACGUCAGGCUGGACCAGGCCAACGGGUCUAACAGGCCGU
rnacentral:lncRNA from 1 species